GAUGAACGCUGACAGAAUGCUCAACACAUGCAAGUCAACUUGAAUUUGGGUUUUUAACUUAGGUUUGGGUGGCGGACGGGUGAGUAACGCGUAAAGAACUUGCCUCACAGCUAGGGACAACAUUUGGAAACGAAUGCUAAUACCUAAUAUUAUGAUAAUAGGGCAUCCUAUAAUUAUGAAAGCUAUAAGCGCUGUGAGAGAGCUUUGCGUCCCAUUAGCUAGUUGGAGAGGUAACGGCUCACCAAGGCGAUGAUGGGUAGCCGGCCUGAGAGGGUGAUCGGCCACAAGGGGACUGAGACACGGCCCUUACUCCUACGGGAGGCAGCAUUGGGGAAUAUUGGACAAUGGACCAAGAGUCUGAUCCAGCAAUUCUGUGUGCACGAUGAAGUUUUUCGGAAUGUAAAGUGCUUUCAGUUGGGAAGAAAGAAAUGACGGUACCAACAGAAGAAGUGACGGCUAAAUACGUGCCAGCAGCCGCGGUAAUACGUAUGUCACGAGCGUUAUCCGGAUUUAUUGGGCGUAAAAGCGCGUCUAGGUGGUUAUGUAAGUCUGAUGUGAAAAUGCAGGGCUCAACUCUGUAUUGCGUUGGAAACUGUAUAACUAUAGUACUGGAGAGGUAAUCUGGAACUACAAGUGUAUAUGGGAAUUCUUAGAUUUUUGUCGGAAUGCCGAUUGUGGGAAGCCAGCUUUCUGUACAUAUUCUGAUGCUGAAUCUUGAAAUGCGGGGUUGUCAACAUGGUUUAUAUGUUCCUUUUUGUCCCAGUGGCGAAUUUCACAGGGGAUGUUGAUGUUGUAUCGAUACUGUGUGAUCGCGGGGGGGGGGUCCGGUACUCAACAAAAAAAAAACAUUUUGUAAAGUUAAAUAAUACACCCUGUGCCCUGAUUAUUCUCUUCCCACCCUUGUGUCUUGCAUCUGUAUGCUUGUGUACACCCCCUUGCAUGCUGUCACUGUAGCUUACUGCCUUGUUUUUUUUUUUUGUUUUUUUUUUUCCUUGUCCCUGUGAAUAUGUACAACUUGCCCUCCCUCUCCAUCCCCUCUGCUGUAGUACACUACUAUAUGUUCCUGUGAUUAUCCUUUCAUAUGUCCUGUUCCCCCUGACCUCUGCUC
rnacentral:rRNA from 1 species